GUAAUGCCAUAUUUGGUUUGGAUCCAUAAUCCAUAUUGUAUUUGUAACACCGAAUGUUAGUUUGAAAUUUUAUUUACUUCAAGCUCACAUUUUAAACUAAAAUUAAGUUUUACAAAAAACGUUCACCCAAACAGAAACAGAAUAUUAUGUUUUGUUAGUAUGCACCAAAAAAGAAUGUGCUUUGUUAGUGAUUUAAGUUAAUUUAUAAUUUAUUUGACUAGUUUAUAUAACUGUUUAAACAAAAUAGUAAGCUCCUCCAGGCAGCUUGCAUCUUUGCUAUUUUUCAAUACCUUAUUAAUUGUCCAAAUACUCAUAUUUAAUCAAUCAAAUAAUUUAACAACUUUCAAUUUUGAGUCAGAACUUAGUUUCCAUCUUUCAUCAUCAAAUUUAUAAGUUAGUUUUAGUACAUGAUACGUCUUAGAGAAUCACAAUAAAACCAAAAUUACAAUGAAAAAUUACAAAAGUUAAGGGAAUUUACUUUUGUUCAUUAUGAUUUUGACUUCACAGUGAUUUUUCAAGGUGUACCUAAACACAAUAAAACCAAAAUUACAAUGAAAAAUUACAAAAGUUAAGGAAAUUUACUUUUGUUCAUUAUGAUUUUGACUUCACAGUGAUUUUUCAAGGUGUACCUAAACAUAUAUAAGUGCAUAUUACUUUCUAUUAAUUGAUUAUGAGCAAAUUGAACUGGAUUCAAACAUGCCACUAGCAAACAAUUCUAGUAGCAUUAAUAGAAAGGGACAGGCAUAGUGCAUGAUUGUUAUAUGCUUACUAGAAACUUCUGCAUUGGGGCAGUGUACGGACGUUGGACUUGUUAAGAGAAGGUUAGAGGAAAGAGGGAUGAGGUAUGUGACAGCUGUGGUAGAGGAUGAAGGAAUCAAGGUGGACCAGGUGUUCUUCCAUGACCCUGAUGGCUACAUG
rnacentral:lncRNA from 1 species